CCUACGGGAGGCAGCAGUGGGGAAUCUUGCGCAAUGGCCGAAAGGCUGACGCAGCGACGCCGCGUGCGGGAGGAAGCCCUUCGGGGUGUAAACCGCUGUCAGAGGGGACGAGGGCCUGUGGGAGGCAAUGCCCAUGGGAGGGACGGUACCCUCAGAGGAAGCACCGGCUAACUCCGUGCCAGCAGCCGCGGUAAUACGGAGGGUGCGAGCGUUGUUCGGAAUUAUUGGGCGUAAAGGGCACGUAGGCGGCUGGUUAAGUCCACUGGUGAAAGACCGGGGCUCAACCCCGAGUGAGCCGGGGAUACUGGCGAGCUGGAGAGAGGCAGAGGCCAGCGGAAUUCCGGGUGUAGCGGUGGAAUGCGUAGAGAUCCGGAAGAACACCGGAGGCGAAGGCGGCUGGCUGGGCCUUCUCUGACGCUGAGGUGCGAAAGCGUGGGGAGCGAACAGGAUUAGAUACCCUGGUAGUCCACGCCGUAAACGAUGGAGACUGGAUGCCGGGGGGAUCGAGCCCUUCGGUGUCGUAGCUAACGCGUUAAGUCUCCCGCCUGGGGAGUACGGCCGCAAGGCUGAAACUCAAAGGAAUUGACGGGGGCCCGCACAAGCGGUGGAGCAUGUGGUCUAAUUCGAAGCAACGCGAAGAACCUUAC
rnacentral:rRNA from 1 species